CUGUGGUUGCUUGUAGAUGCUUUAAGCUAAAAUUCGUUCCCAUGGUUACGUUCAACUAGAAAUCUUUUUUUUUUAUUGCUUUUAGCUAAUAAUCGUUCUCAUUGGUACUUUCAGUUGAUGGUUGUUUUCGUGGGUACUUUUAGAUAGGAAUUAUUUCUCUGUUUAUUUGGAGCUAGAAUCUGUUUUUGUGGUUUUUGUUUUUUAGCUAGGAGUUUUUUAGCAGCUAGGCGAGUUUUUCAGCAGCUAGGAGAUUUUUUUAGCUAGGAGUUUUUUAGCAGCUAAGAGGGUUUUUUUAGCUAGGAGUUUUUUAGCAGCUAGGAGUUUUUUAGCUAGGAAUUUUCAUUGUUACUAUUACAAGAACUCGCUUCUGUGGUUAUUUUUAGUUACAAAAUCAUUCCCUAAAAAAGAAAGAACAGAUGGAAAGAACCAGAACCAGAGACAGAUGGAAAGAACGAGACAGAGAGAGACAUAAUAAAUUCUCUAAGCUGUCCACACACACACACACACACACACACACACACACACACACACACACACACAGUAAUGAAAUGAGGAAUUUAUUGUGUGUGUGAAAGAGAAGAAUAUCAGAGCGAGAUGAGAUAAGCAAGUUGAGGGGG
ensembl:lncRNA